rnacentral:tRNA from 2 species
ACUAUUUUGGCAGAAAAAUGUAGUGAUUUUAGAAUUCAUUAAUAUAUAAUUUAAUUAUAUAGAUAGUA